rnacentral:rRNA from 1 species
CAAUAUGAAGGUCAGGCUGAAGACCUUACCCGAUUAGCUGAGAGGUGGUGCAUGGCCGUCGUCAGUUCGUACUGUGAAGCAUCCUGUUAAGUCAGGCAACGAGCGAGACCCAUGUCCACAGUUGCCAGCAUACCCUCCGGGGUGAUGGGUACACUGUGGAGACCGCCGCUGCUAAAGCGGAGGAAGGAGUGGGCAACGGUAGGUCAGUAUGCCCCGAAUCUCCCGGGCUACACGCGGGCUACAAUGGUUGGUACAAUGGGCAUCUACCCCGAAAGGGGAAGGAAAUCUCUUAAAGCCAAUCGUAGUUCAGAUUGAGGGCUGCAACUCGCCCUCAUGAAGCUGGAAUCCGUAGUAAUCGCGUUUCAACAGAACGCGGUGAAUACGUCCCUGCUCCUU